GCAAGUCGAGGGGUAACAGAGAGAAGCUUGCUUCUUUGCUGACGACCGGCGCACGGGUGCGUAACGCGUAUAGAAUCUACCUUACACUGAGGGAUAGCCUUUGGAAACGAAGAUUAAUACCUCAUGGUAUCAUUGACUGGCAUCAGUUGAUGAUUAAAGGUUACGGUGUAAGAUGACUAUGCGUCCUAUUAGCUAGAUGGUAAGGUAACGGCUUACCAUGGCAACGAUAGGUAGGGGCCCUGAGAGGGGGAUC
rnacentral:rRNA from 1 species